UAGGGAAUCUUCCACAAUGGACGCAAGUCUGAUGGAGCAACGCCGCGUGAGUGAAGAAGGUUUUCGGACCGUAAAGCUCUGUUGUUGGUGAAGAAGGAUAGAGGUAGUAACUGGCCUUUAUUUGACGGUAAUCAACCAGAAAGUCACGGCUAACUACGUGCCAGCAGCCGCGGUAAUACGUAGGUGGCAAGCGUUGUCCGGAUUUAUUGGGCGUAAAGCGAGCGCAGGCGGAAGAAUAAGUCUGAUGUGAAAGCCCUCGGCUUAACCGAGGAAUUGCAUCGGAAACUGUUUUUCUUGAGUGCAGAAGAGGAGAGUAGAACUCCAUGUGUAGCGGUGGAAUGCGUAGAUAUAUGGAAGAAUACCAGUGGCGAAGGCGGCUCUCUGGUCUGCAACUGACGCUGAGGCUCGAAAGCAUGGGUAGCGAACAGGAUUAGAUACCCUGGUAGUCCAUGCCGCAA
rnacentral:rRNA from 1 species